AGGGAGAGAGAGAGAGGGAGGGAGGGAGAGAGAGGGAGUGACCGAGCAUAAGAGAGAAGGGGAGGGAGGGGUUUCGGUCGUAUAAGGAAGAGAAAAAAAAUAUACACACUACGCGAGUCAUAAGAAAAACAGUGAGGAGGGAGCGAAGGAGAGGGUGACUAGAAGGAAGGAGAGAGGGAGGGAGGGAGAGAGGGAGAGAGGACGGGAAGGAGGAGGUAAGAAGAGGGAGGGAGUAGAAGGAACGUAAGAGGGAAGGAGGACGAGGAGGAGGACUUGAGGAGAGAGACAGGAAGGGAGAAGAAGGAAGGACAGAGGAAGGACAAGAAGGAGGCGGAAGAAGGGAGGAGUGAAGAAGGGGGAUCAGGUAGUAAAUGACAAGGGGAGGACUCGUAGUAAUGGGUUUAAGCUCUGUAAUGGAGCGGUGAAUGAGGUGAACAGGAUUUACAGUCAUGUGGUGAGUGCUAAUACCAUAGACGCCUGAAAGAAAAGGUUAGAUUCAUGGGUAGGGAGGUUAGGUUAGGUGAGUGUUAAUACCAUAGACGCCUCCGAGAAAAGGUUAGAUUCAUGGGUAGGAAGGUUAGGUUAGGUGAGUGUUAAUACCAUAGACGCCUGAAAGAAAAGGUUAGAUUCUUGGGUAGGGAGGUUAGGUUAGGUGAGUGUUAAUACCAUAGACGCCUGAAAGAAAAGGUUAGAUUCAUGGGUAGGAAGGUUAGGUUAGGUGAGUGUUAAUACCAUAGACGCCUGAAAGAAAAGGUUAGAUUCAUGGGUAGGAAGGUUAGGUUAGGUGAGUGUUAAUACCAUAGACGACUCCAAGACAAGGUUAGAUUCAUGGGUAGGAAGGUUAGGUUCAGGAGUCAUGAAGGAGUGCAGCAGGCUUGACAGUUACGGGGUGAGUCAUGAUACGAUAGACGCCUCUAAGAAAAGUUCACAAUUUUAUGGGCAGGGAGGUUGAGUUAGGUUUACAGGAGCUCCCCCUCUGUGUACCGACGGGCUCCUUGAAGACUCUUUACGUUCGUGCGUUUUUAUGUUUUUAGAGUAAUUGAGAAGGAAAGGGGUAGGAGGGGUGGAUGAGAGAGAGAGAGAGAGAGAGAGAGAGA